rnacentral:misc_RNA from 1 species
UUUCCGUAGGUGAACCUGCGGAAGGAUCAUUACUGAGUGAGGGGCCUCUGGGUCCAGCCUCCCACCCGUGUUUAUUAUACCUUGUUGCUUCGGUGAGCCCGCCUCACGGCCGCCGGGGGGCAUCUGCCCCCGGGCCCGCGCCCACCGAAGACACCUAGAACUCUGUAUGAAGAUUGCAGUCUGAGCAAAAACUAAAUAAGUUAAAACUUUCAACAACGGAUCUCUUGGUUCCG